CAUUGCUGGCACAGUCUUAAAUACGAGGGUCUUCCUCUGCUGCAACUCAUGCAGGCACUACAUCAAGAGCUGCAGCAGAGGAAGACCGUCACAUUCCUGUCUGCAUAGUGUUCUCUGAAAAACUGAAGAGUACGCCAGGGACAUGGCUGGCAGCAGCCUUACACAGUUGGAUAAGAGUGAUUUAGAUGUCAAGGACUCAACUGCUAUGAGCUUUUCAUGCCAAAUGAAGCACAACUUGUGUUGUGAGGUCAGUUUUGCUCAAGCAGCAGGGCACUGGAGGCGUUGUGUACUGUCCCCUGCUCUGCUGGCAGCCUUUGGCCACCUCUUCACUUGGAGGCUGUGUUUUCCUCCAGAGCUAGCUGCAUGAGUUGUCAUAGCAACUCAUUGCUUGCUAACAGGCUCCUGCCCUGUUUGUUGGCUCUCCUAGGCCUAGCGCAUUUAUGAGCAGCUCUGUGGGGAUGAGGAUGAGGCAGAACAAGGUGUGCACCACAACACAAACAUGGUUACACAGAAGCAGCAGGAGAAGCUGUUCCUCAAGCUGGCUCAGACGAAAUCAUCUCCGGAGGAGUCUUGCAGGAGUUACCAGCAGAGAGUUACCACAGUGGAGAAGAUCCGGGAAGAAUGGCAGAA